GGAAUUUUUAGGAUGCUGGCUUGUAUUCCCUCCUGUGGCUACCCAAGCUGACUUUGCCAUCGCCCCAGGACAAAUGUGCUUGGAAAAGACAGUUUCACUUUCAGAAACUCAUCUUUUGAAAAUUUAGUUUCUGAACCUUCUUUCUUAUACUUCACACCAAUCCUUGCUGCCCUCAAUUUGGAGCAUGAAGUCCAGAGAGAGGUCAUCGAAUUCUUUCAUUAUUGGCCCAGAAGGAACAUUCUGUAUGGUCUUGCCCUGAGGGAUUACAAUAUAGGCCAGAGAUGUUUUAGGGGUAGAAACCCUAGAUAACCAGAAAAUCCUGGAUGGCUAAGGACGUACAAAAGAGUACAGAUAGCUCAAAUAGGGCAACUUCAGGCAGCAAUAAAGAGGGUAGGAGCAAUUGAAGUUUGAACAUUUCUUUUCUACAUCACUUGCCUGACACCAUCUUGGUGAUAAAUACCUUAACUACAGAUGUAGCAAAUAGAUUUUGCCACCAGUGCCAAAUCCAUUCAAUUGCUGUUUCCUGCCAGGAGCACAAAGCUGAGAGAAGAUUCUGAGGCAAAGUCAGAGCUCUGUAGAAAAAAAAAAAAAAAAGGAAUUGGUGAUUGAUUAGUGAUAUCUGCCAUGGGCAAGGUAUAGAUAACUAAGGUACAGAUGCCAGGUAGCUCUCAUCCCUGGUUGACUUCAAUCCUACCUUUGGCUUUUUUCCUCAAACGAAAUGAGUAAUUCAGAUUCUCCCAGCUGAUACUUAUCUCAUUCCUUCCUCUACACGCAUAGCACUUGGUUCAUACUUCUAGAACUAUGCUUGCCACAGCCUGCCUCGUGCCUGGAUCAGUCACAUGUGUGUCUAGCUCUCCUCUAACUCACUGUUCCUGAGGGCAGUGGUCAUGUCCUUGCUUCCAUUUCCAGUGCAUGGUCCUGGCAUUCUGCACAUAGCAUACAGGGAAUGUCUGUGAAAUUGAUACCCGUGGGACUGAAUUUUGGUGCGGCCCCUGAGAGAGACCUAAACAACCUGAGGAAUCAUUGCAAAGCAGGGGAGAAGCUGCCAAGAGGAAGGGGACCAAGUCAAAAAAACAAGAUGGAAUAUAUCAAACAGGUCUUGAGCUACUCAAGACACAGUCUGAAACCCUGAGGGGUCUCUAGGAAGAACAUGGCUAGUUGGCUUGCAGAACACCAGGAUCUACCCUGAUGUCUAUCCUCCAUUGUCCCCUCAACCAGGUAACAAGAUACAUUCCAGUGCCAAACUCUACCCAUUAUAUUUCAGUCCUCAAUUGUUUCUCCAGGAAAUCCAAAAGAUGUGCCCUAAAGCUUUAGUUUCAAGAGCUGUCCCUUGUAGGAUCCCCUUUCAGGUUCUACCUUCAGUCUCAUAGUCACUUAUUUUGUAAAGUUUACAAAACAGGAGUUGAACCACAUCUGGUCAUCUGGUUAAGGCCCCUGCCCUCUCUCCACAGUGACUCUGCCUUCCUCCUCCUUUUUCAGAUGUUGACAUUGGAAUGGACAGGGGGAAGCUGAGUAGGAAAGCCAUUUAGUUUGGAUUUAGUGGGACAUACAUGUAUAUUCAGUUUUCAGUUAUUUCCAUGCAUAGAGGAUCCAGGAAUACUUUCACUUCCCAACUCUGCUGAUUUCCCUGCCAGACAGACACUGGAAGGAACAAAGCCAGAGGUCACAUACAAUAUAAGGGUGUCCUACAGCACCUGGCAUCGAAAGUCUGUGGGUAGUCCAAGAGAAGCAAGGUCUGAAAUGCACAGAAUUUCUGAAGUGCACGGGAAGCUAAUCUGUGGAAAAUGCUCCCAAAUCUUACAGAUCAUACAUAAAACUUAAUGGAGCUUUCCCCAGAUCUACCACAAUCCUCAUGCUGCUCAUGACUUCAACAAAAUUGAGUUGCAAAGCUGAAGGAAAUGUUACACAACUAGCAAUAAUAAAAAAUAAAUUUUCAUCA
rnacentral:lncRNA from 12 species